AUGACGAGUGGCGAACGGGUGCGUAACGCGUAUGCAACCUACCUUCAAUCGGGGAAUACCCCAGAGAAAUUUGGAAUAAUACCCCAUAGUACAACGGAAUCGCAUGAUUUUGUUGUUAAAGUUUAGGCGAUUGAAGAUGGGCAUGCGUGACAUUAGUUUGUUGGUAAGGUAACGGCUUACCAAGACUACGAUGUCUAGGGGUUCUGAGAGGAUGAUCCCCCACACUGGUACUGAGACACGGACCAGACUCC
rnacentral:rRNA from 1 species